CGCCAUAGCAUUGCUUCUGGUAUCCCGCGCGCAGCCGCGCCAGGGAUUCAAACGGGAAGCCGGUGCGGCCCGCCCGAACAAGGCUGGCCCAUCCCGGCGCUGCCCCCGCAACGGUAAGCGAGGAAGGACACGCAUCACGCCACUGUGCGCCAGGGUUCGCCCUGUCAUGGGAAGGCGCCUGUCCGCGAAGCCCCAGGCUUCAUCCCGCGAGCCCGGAGACCGGCCCGAGGCGAAUUCUGAAU
rnacentral:ncRNA from 2 species